ACAAGCCAUUGAUCGGUACGGGUUGUGAGAGCAAGAGCCCGGAGAUGGAUUCUGAGACACGAAUCCAGGCCCUACGGGGCGCAGCAGGCGCGAAAACUUUACAAUGCGAGAAAUCGUGAUAAGGGAACCCCGAGUGCCCGUAAAUUCGGGCUGUCCGCCAGUGUAAAUAACUGGUGAAGAAAGGGCCGGGCAAGACCGGUGCCAGCCGCCGCGGUAAUACCGGCGGCUCGAGUGGUGGCCACUAUUACUGGGCUUAAAGCGUCCGUAGCUGGAUUGUUAAGUCUCUUGGGAAAUCCACCGGCUCAACCGAUGGGCGUUCAGGAGAAACUGGCAAUCUAGGGACCGGGAGAGGUGAGAGGUACUCCAGGGGUAGGAGUGAAAUCCUGUAAUCCUUGGGGGACCACCUGUGGCGAAGGCGUCUCACUAGAACGGCUCCGACAGUGAGGGACGAAAGCUGGGGGAGCAAACCGGAUUAGAUACCCGGGUAGUCCCAGCUGUAAACGAUGCGCGUUAGGUGUAUCGGUGACCACGAGUCAUCGAGGUGCCGAAGGGAAACCGUGAAACGUG
rnacentral:rRNA from 1 species